AGCAGCGGAAGCGGAUGAGGGAAGCGCGGCCGCGGCCCUGGGGGGCGGUGCGGAGCUGUGGGAGCCUCGGCCUCCUCCGGGCCCCCUGCGCGGCCCUCAUGCGGCGCCCUCGCUGACACCCGAAACUCGCCGCUCGCCGUCCUCCUGGGGACCGCGGGGUCGCCCGGCCCGCCGCCCUUGGCGGUUGAAGUCGUCGGCUUGCGGGCCCGCCGCGGCCGCCCAUGGAGAAGACCGGGCGGGGAGGCGAUGGCGCCCCCCGGGGGCCCGUACUGCACAUCGUGGUGGUCGGCUUUCAUCACAAGAAGGGCUGCCAGGUUGAAUUCUCUUACCCGCCCCUGAUUCCAGGAGAUGGACAUGACAGCCACACUUUACCUGAAGAAUGGAAAUAUUUGCCCUUCCUUGCCUUACCAGAUGGCGCACACAACUACCAAGAAGAUACUGUGUUUUUUCACUUGCCACCCAGAAAUGGAAACGGAGCCACAGUGUAUGGUAUCUCCUGUUAUCGACAGAUUGAAGCCAAGGCAUUGAAAGUACGGCAAGCAGAUAUCACCAGAGAGACCGUUCAGAAAAGUGUCUGUGUUCUAAGCAAGUUGCCUCUCUAUGGCUUACUUCAAGCAAAACUUCAGCUCAUUACACAUGCAUAUUUUGAAGAGAAGGAUUUUUCCCAAAUUUCCAUUCUAAAGGAGCUUUAUGAGCAUAUGAAUAGUUCCUUGGGAGGAACUUCAUUAGAAGGAUCCCAAGUAUAUCUUGGUCUAUCUCCUCGAGAUCUUGUGCUUCAUUUUCGACACAAGGUCUUAAUCCUGUUUAAACUAAUUCUUCUUGAAAAAAAGGUUCUCUUUUAUAUUUCUCCAGUGAAUAAAUUGGUGGGUGCCCUGAUGACUGUGUUAUCCCUUUUUCCAGGCAUGAUUGAACAUGGUCUCAGUGACUGUUCUCAGUACAGACCCCGAAAGAGUAUGUCUGAAGAUGCUGGGCUUCACGAAAGCAAUCCCCCUGCAGAUGAUUUUAUUUCUGUGUCUGCUCCCGACAUUUCAAAUACCAACUCAGGAACUGUUAAGAAAAUCAUGACAGGAAACCAUGGAGGAGAUGCUGGCAUCAACACUGAAGAACCAUUGCUCCAAGUAGAUGAUGACAGCAGCAAAGGACAGGAACCUAAUGAAACCAGUCAAUAUUUGAAACCUCCUUCUCGCCCAUCUCCAGAGUCUUCAGAAAGUGACUGGGAGACCUUGGAUCCUAGCGUCUUAGAGGACCCCACCUUGAAAGAAAGGGAACAGGUGGGGUCAGAACAGACAAACUCUUUUCCAAAGGAGUCUGUGCCCUCAGACAGUCCUCCGAUUACUGUACAACCUCAAGCUAAUACGGGCCAGGUAGUCCUGAUACCAGGGCUAAUUUCCGGUUUGGAAGAAGACCAAUAUGGCAUGCCCCUGGCCAUCUUCACAAAGGGAUAUCUGUGUUUGCCUUAUAUGGCGUUGCAGCAGCAUCAUCUUCUCUCUGACGUCACCGUCCGUGGAUUCGUUGCUGGGGCUACUAAUAUCCUAUUCCGCCAGCAGAAGCACCUCAGUGAUGCCAUUGUGGAGGUAGAAGAAGCUCUGAUCCAGAUCCAUGAUCCAGAACUCAGGAAGCUGCUUAACCCAACCACUGCAGACCUCAGGUUCGCAGAUUACCUAGUGAGGCACGUGACGGAGAACCGGGAUGAUGUCUUCUUGGAUGGCACAGGCUGGGAGGGAGGUGACGAAUGGAUCCGAGCCCAGUUUGCAGUCUACGUCCACGCGCUGCUGGCUGCCACACUGCAGUUAGAUAAUGAAAAGAUAUUAUCGGACUAUGGGACAACCUUUGUUACAGCAUGGAAGAAUACUCACAACUACAGGGUGUGGAACAGCAACAAGCAUCCGGCACUUGCAGAAAUAAAUCCAAAUCAUCCUUUUCAAGGCCAGUACUCCGUGUCAGACAUGAAGUUAAGAUUCUCACAUUCUGUUCAAAACAGUGAACGUGGCAAAAAAAUUGGAAACGUCAUGGUCACAACCAGCCGAAAUGUUGUACAAACAGGAAAAGCUGUUGGCCAGUCUGUUGGAGGAGCUUUUACCAGCGCAAAGACAGCUAUGUCUUCAUGGCUUUCUACUUUCACCAGUCCUGCCCCCCAGAGUCUCACUGAGCCACCCGACGGGAAGCCCUGAGCAAGGUGUCCAGAGGCUGCUGUCGCUUCCUUAGGUUUAAGUGUCUCCCGUCUGUCUGCUCCCAUCUUCAUCGGCCACAGGUCCACAGCAGGGGACCAGGACGUCGAACUGUUUACAUGGACGGUUGCCCUCUGUCUAAAUGAAUGUCGCAGGAUGCUGGAAAGAUGAAAUCGCAGCCGUAGCGGGGAUGGCUUUCCAGGAAAAAUAAGAAUAAAAGUGUCCUGUUUGUCCUGCAUACAGUCGUACUGUCUUUCUGGAAGUACACUUGAUGUUGUCCGUGCGGUCUCUGGCCCGCUUCAUGGUUGGACAGCAGUGCCAGCUUCAUGUGAUGACCCCUGCAGGAAGAACCCCUUAGUUUCUCUGGAAUGCUAAGUGCACAAAGUACAACCAAACAGAGAUUGGUCGUGAGAUAAUACCUCAUCACAUGCUCACUGACAGAAACCCCCAGGGGAAUAGAACAUUGUCUCGAGCAGCCUAUUUUCCCACCUGGACUGCUGUUCUACAAGAGAGGAGCUUGGUGAUGCGCUUCAGAGAAGCAGACAAGUUUCUUUACCCCGGGGGAGGGUGCACUUCCUUGAGUGCGGGGUUAAGUUUAAGGUCCCAGUGUUCUCUGACAUGGACCAUUAGCACCCCCGAAUUGAUGAGGUAUUUGGGGACAGUGGAGCCAGGCACCGCCGGUAUCUCCCCUUUUCCAAGGACCUCUGCCACCUGGGCGUCAGGCUCUGCCAUGGUGAGGUGGACGGUGCCCCCUCACUUCUGAGGUCACAGCUGCCUGUUCUUUACUCCCAUAGGAUGGGAGUGGCAAUUAUUCAAUCUGGUAACAUCUAGAAGGACUAUGAUUGUGGAACCAGUUUUUUUCCCAAGGAUCAACCCUUCCUGAAGGGCUUCUCUGCCUGGGCUUCAUCUCCACAGGAUUGGGGGGCCGCACGUGAACACACUUUGUGUGAUCCUGGAGUUCGAAGCCAGGGAACAGCCGGGGGCAGGAGAUCAGAAUGGUUAUGCUCUUUGCUCUUCCUGUGAACACCUGUGUUUGGAACUGCUGACCUCCCAACACAAUACCAGAACCAAGAUUCAGAUCAUUUAAAUGUAUGUGUUUGAUCUUUCACUGGACCCGGCCACACUCCCGGAGCACAUAGAUGUGGACUGGAACUGUGGGAAAAUGAUGAAAGCCACAUGAUGAAAUACUGAUCAUUGUUGAAGCCAGUUCAUCCAGGUGGCUACUGGUGGGCUUGGUUCCAAGUUUCCUGUUUGGGGCUGACGCGAACAGCGGCGCUGCUCUGACCAUCCUGGUUUGCGUGUCCCAGAGCACCUGCACGUGUUUCUCCAGGGUAUACACGCGGGAGUGAAACUGCUGGGUUCUGUGCACCAGUUCAUGGAGAUGGAUGAAGAAACUAUUUAUUUCCUCCGAAGGGCUGACAUUCCCCAAGUCGAACAAUCACAUAGAGGUCCAUUGUUUUCCAGAACUGUCCUGGGCAGCUACAGAUCCUAAGGAUCUGCAUCCUAAACACUGCAUCAGAGGCACACUGGCCUCCAGAGACCCAAGAUUUGCACAUCUUUGGCUACCUGCACUGGGAAGCCACUCUUAAGACGAACCCAAGUCCCUCAUACUCAUACUGCAUUUUAAACCCUGCCUUCUCCCUAUCCAGUGUUUGAGUGCCUACUAUGCAUGCACAUAGCACAUGCCACACACGUGGUUCCUAGCCCUCCUGGAGCUUGCCGUUCAUCAGGGCAGGUGAGCAGUUACCACAGGGGACGAAGAGGGCCAGGUCAGAGGUGAGCCAGGGUGUGUUCCAGCACAUCAUGGUGGCCGGCUGCUGUCCGACAGGGACAAGUAGAAGUCUCCUCCCCAGGAGCCUAAGUUGAGACCUGAAGGCCAUGUGAUAGUUACGGGGGUGAGGGAAGGGGUUGUAAGCCUUAGAGGGCUCUGGUGUGCAGAAGACAGCAUAGGCAGACAUGGAAGCAGUGAAUGUUCUUUGGUGUGCCUGGGACCUAAAUGGCCAGGUCAGGAUGGGGAGAACUUUGUGAGCCAGGAGAAGGGGUAUAGGCUUGUUCUAGAAGGCAGGGGAAAAACCUGGAAGGGCUUCCUUGCAGGCCAGAGGCAGGUUGGGUGGUGCAUUUUAGAACCUUGGUUGAGGAGGAGGUACCACUGCCGUCCCACUGCCCUUAGCCAUAAAUUCAGUGAUGUUUCUCUGAACCAACAGCACCCUUUCCUUUCCCUUCCCCAGUAGCCAGUCUCACAGCUUUCUGCUGACUUCAAAUCACAUGUGCCCCAAACAACAGGCCCAAGAAGAAAACCCUUGUGAUGCUGUCCUCCAUCAAAAAGCAGUCACUGUGAGAACAUGCGUUUUUCCUUGAUUUAGCCGGUGGGGCUUGUUAGUGAAAAGCAAAUCUGAGUGAUUUCGGGGAGUGCAGGGGACACUUCAGCAUCUAACUUACUCUUCUUGGCCAAGUGGGGACCCAGGAGACAUGCCUCACCAGCUCUUUGUGGAUAGGUUUAAACGUGGAUAAAACUCACUUUUCCUCUACACAGUUUACAAGCAGGAAGGGAGUGCUUUGUAUAUUCAAAAAGUCCAUCUGCAGUCACCAUCUGGAUUUUCAUUCAUAUUUGCUCCAAUCCAUAGAAUUUUUUUUCUCAUCAGCUUUCCCAGAUGAACCACGUGCUUUGCUCUGGGGGAUGAUUGGGUCAAAGUAAGAUAGCAGAGAACUUGAAAAGUAGCCUUUCCACCUGCUCCUCCUGGCUAUGCCCUAGAAGAUGGUUCCUCAGCAGCACUUACUAGAAACCACUGAGACCAAAGUUAAACCACACCAUCUUCGGCUGCAGUGAUCCUGAGCUGGCCCUCUGUGCAAGGUCAUCCACGAGACACUGGUGCCCCCUCUGUGGCCUCAGUAGAUCAUUCACUCCCACUAAAUGCCUUUGAAGUGCAAAUUCCCAGGUAAAACACAGCGAGAGAGGGAAC